UUUGUCUCUCCACUCCAGUGAUGAUCCAUUGCAAUAAGCCUCCAGUGAUGAUCCAUGGCACAAAGCCUCCAGUGAUGAUCCAUGGCACGAAGCCUCCAGUGAUGAUCCAUGGCACGAAGCCUCCAGUGAUGAUCCAUGGCAUGAAGCCUCCAGUGAGGAGUCAUGGCAUAAAGCCUCCAACGAAGGCCUCCAGUCCGGAGCUUCCAGCGAUGGCCUCCAGUCCGGAGUCUCCAGCAACGGCCUCCAGUCCGGAGCAUCCAGAGACAGUCUCCAGCCCGGAGCCCCCAGAGACGGCCUCCAGCCCGGGACCCGCAGCGAGGGCGCCCAGUCCGGGGCCCGCAACGGGGGCAACCCAGUCCGGGGCCCACAAUGAGGGGGCCCAGUCCGGGGUCGGCGACGAGGGUCCCCGCACCAGAGGUGCCACCAAAGUGAGGGAAGUCCCCUCCUGUUCCCUGAUUAAGAGGUGAUGAUUACUCGACUCCACUACAAUUGUCAACUUUCUCCUGACAUAAACUGAAGCCACAUCUCAUGUGCCUGCUCAUCCACUGGCACAUUGAAUGUUUCCCCUCCGAGCACUGAGUACCCCCUAUCAAUUUUCUCUCAUUACUUUUUUUGUCUUACCAGUCAAAUCCUGUACUGCACUGGUCAAGCCUCUGAACACCUCAACUCAUGCCUCAUUCAAUCACUGCUGUGAUCCCUUUCCAACAUGGUUCACCAGCCUCCACUGCUUUCAACAUACAGUAUGCCCGGACAUCUCCCGCUGUCACCCGAAGCAAGCCACUGAAACAGACUCACGCUAACAGAGCUGUACUGCUGGUUCCCAGUUAUUAUGUAGGCUAACGAAACUUUAGUUUGCAUGGCCUUUCCAUAUUAAAAAAGGAUGAAUCCAAUCUGUAAUGUGUCUGCGUUGCAGCAUUGCCCCUCUAUUCCCUACGCACACAUAAUCCACUAUCAAUAUUUAUAGAAAGACAAUAUGACAAAUUGAAUUGGUCAAACUGAUAAACAUGCAGUUAUUCAUUUGAUGUUUAAUUUAAUUGAAGACAUCAGUGUGUGCAUAUAGGAACUUUACAUGUUAUAGCCCAGAGUGCCCCUUAUGGAAAAACAACAUGAUUUCACAUGUGGAAAAUCAAAUGUUUUCAUUUCCAGAAGAUUUCACAUAACAUUUCCUCUUGUUUUGCACAUGUGAAUCUAUGUGUUUUUGGAACACUUCAAUUGUGAUAAUGUGGAUUUUUACGUGUGAAAAUAUAAGGUUUCACAUUUGGAUUCAAAUUUUCACGAUAUUUCAUAGGCGAUGCCCUGA
ensembl:lncRNA